UAGACGCUCAACGUCUGCACUGCAGCGCGAACUGGUUUCCUUGAGUACGCACAAAGUGGGCGGAAUUCGUGGUGUAGCGGUGAAAUGCUUAGAUAUCACGAAGAACUCCGAUUGCGAAGGCAGCUCACUGGAGCGCAACUGACGCUGAAGCUCGAAAGUGCGGGUAUCGAACAGGAUUAGAUACCCUGGUAGUCCGCACGGUAAACGAUGGAUGCCCGCUGUUGGUCUGAAUAGGUCAGCGGCCAAGCGAAAGCAUUAAGCAUCCCACCUGGGGAGUACGCCGGCAACGGUGCAACUCAAAGGAAUUGACGG
rnacentral:rRNA from 1 species